rnacentral:ncRNA from 1 species
UGGCUAUGCGUUUUAAUUUUUGACUCUAUUUGUUGUGGUACUAUGAGUUUUUAGUUUGUUUUUAUGAUGUUUUUUGUAAAAUAUUUUGAUUUUUUUUUAGUUUCUUGUGGUAUCAAAAAUUUGUUUUUUGAACUGGAUUAGUACCCAGGUAAUCAAAAUUUAAUAAUUCGGGAGUAAAGUUUUGUUUAAACCGAAAAAAUAUUGACUGACUUUAGAUUUUUCUUUGGAACAUGUGAUUUGCUGGAGAGCCCUCUUUUUUGGUGAAUUUUGUUGGCACAUGUAUGAUUGUUUAGUUUUUAUUUUAUUUUGUAAUGCUUUGUUGUUUUGGCAUUAAAAACAGAUAUAUAUUUGGCUUAUGAAUUUAUGUUUCAUGUGUUACUAUUAUGAAUUUUUUUUGGAUUAGUUUUUUAUUUUUUUUUGAAAUUGGAAAAGAAAGUAAUUUUUUUUUAAUGUUUUAAUGAAUUUAAUAAAUAAGGUGGUACAAACCAUCCGUCAAUGGCCUAAAGGGGCGUAAGUUG